CAAGCUUUUCUUUUUAUGUCAAAUUAUAUAUAAAAAAAUUUCAAAUAAGAAUAAACAGAAUAAUUGUGUUUCAAACUAAAAAAAAAACAAAUACGAAUAUAAUUUGAAUUAAAGAACAAAUAAGAAAACUAAAAAAAAACAGAAUUGUGCUUCAAAAAACAAAACUGAAGGAAACUAUGAUGAAUUCAAGAGAACACAAUAUGAUGCCAAUAAUUAGCAAACCCAUUGGCGAAGAUACAAUCGUUGGUUGCUGCCAGAAAUCAUAGCCAAGCGUGACAAUCUCAUGGGCAGACAAAGACUUGGGGAAUAUAUUAUUUUAGAUGGCAACGAUCUCUUAGGAGUCCGUUUGAAAUUAUUUAUAUUGCCGCAGUUAAUAGCCUAUAAUUUGCUAUAUGGAGUAUUUUAUGUUUUAAAAUUUACAAUACAAAUCCUAUUGGCAAGUGUUCCUGAUGGAUUUAUAGAUACCUAUUAACAAUUUGAUUUAUAGAUAUUAAAAUUUUUCUUUUACGUUGUUGUGUUCGUUACAAAAUUAUUUCGUAUUUUGUAA